CAGCAGAAAAUACUAUCUGUAGUUUUGACUAGAAAUAACAUUAGGGAGCACUUCUCAACCUGUGUUAGAAUGUCCAAUGACUUAUAAAGAUGCUCAGGUGUCAUUAAACAUGCUAAAAGGAUAUAUUUCCAUUUCAAUUUUCUUUAAUUCCACAAGGCUAAGGAAAAAAAGAGCAGCAGGAGGGAUCAAAAUAAACUAGGAUAAGGGGGCGGGGAGAGAAAUAAUAAAUAAUAAAAGCUUACAAUUCAGAGAGCCACCAUUAUGACUUUCAGUUUGAGUUUCAUUCUGGAAGUGACUGCUUGUUUUCUCUGUCAUGACCUAAUAUGUCACAUUCUAUGGUGGCAUGGAGAAAGAGGGAGGGAGAAUCCUGUCUUUAUAUUUUUGUUCACUCAUGCAACAAGUAUUUGUUGAGUUCUUACGAGAUGCCUGUCUGUGAUAUUUAUGGCAUUCCUUCUGUCUGGACUUUUUCCUUUUGGCAUGGAAACUCCCAUCUAUCCUGUGAGAUUUAGCUCAAAUAUUGCCCACUUUUUGAAACAUUCUCUUAUUCCAAAAGUUAUACACUCCUUCUUCUCUAGUCUUAUAAUAUCUAUCAUAUCUUUUCAUACCUUUUAUGUAUAUCCAUCUUACUCUUUCAUCAGACUGACCACUUUUAGGACAUAUCUCCUCUUUAAUGCGCUGAGCGUUCUGUCUUAGCAACAUGUAGGAGUUAUUCAGCAAAUGUUUGUUGGAUGGAUGGUGGAUAGAUAGAGAUGAACGAUUAUUGACAACUUGUUGAAAAGUGUAAG
rnacentral:lncRNA from 1 species